rnacentral:rRNA from 1 species
CUACGGGUUGCUCCAGUGGGGAAUAUUGGACAAUGGGCGAAAGCCUGAUCCAGCAAUGCCGCGUGAGUGAUGAAGGCCUUAGGGUUGUAAAGCUCUUUUACCCGGGAUGAUAAUGACAGUACCGGGAGAAUAAGCUCCGGCUAACUCCGUGCCAGCAGCCGCGGUAAUACGGAGGGAGCUAGCGUUGUUCGGAAUUACUGGGCGUAAAGCGCACGUAGGCGGCUUUGUAAGUUAGAGGUGAAAGCCUGGAGCUCAACUCCAGAAUUGCCUUUAAGACUGCAUCGCUCGAAUCCAGGAGAGGUCAGUGGAAUUCCGAGUGUAGAGGUGAAAUUCGUAGAUAUUCGGAAGAACACCAGUGGCGAAGGCGGCUGACUGGACUGGUAUUGACGCUGAGGUGCGAAAGCGUGGGGAGCAAACAGGAUUAGAUACCCUCGUAGUC